CGGUAACAGGAAGCAGCUUGCUGCUUCGCUGACGAGUGGCGGACGGGUGAGUAAUGUCUGGGAAACUGCCUGAUGGAGGGGGAUAACUACUGGAAACGGUGGCUAAUACCGCAUAACGUCGCAAGACCAAAGAGGGGGACCUUCGGGCCUCUUGCCAUCAGAUGUGCCCAGAUGGGAUUAGCUAGUUGGUGAGGUAACGGCUCACCAAGGCGACGAUCCCUAGCUGGUCUGAGAGGAUGACCAGCCACACUGGAACUGAGACACGGUCCAGACUCCUACGGGAGGCAGCAGUGGGGAAUAUUGCACAAUGGGCGCAAGCCUGAUGCAGCCAUGCCGCGUGUAUGAAGAAGGCCUUCGGGUUGUAAAGUACUU
rnacentral:rRNA from 1 species